GACGAACGCUGGCGGCGUGCCUAACACAUGCAAGUCGAGCGAUGAAGCCCUUCGGGGUGGAUUAGCGGCGGACGGGUGAGUAACACGUGGGUAACCUGCCUCAAAGUGGGGGAUAGCCUUCCGAAAGGAAGAUUAAUACCGCAUAAAAUGCUUUAAUCGCAUGGUUGAAGCAUCAAACGAGUAAUCGGCUUUGAGAUGGACCCGCGGCGCAUUAGCUAGUUGGUGAGGUAACGGCUCACCAAGGCGACGAUGCGUAGCCGACCUGAGAGGGUGAUCGGCCACAUUGGAACUGAGACACGGUCCAGACUCCGACGGGAGGCAGCAGUGGGGAAUAUUGCGCAAUGGAGGAAACUCUGACGCAGCAACGCCGCGUGAAUGAUGAAGGCCUUAGGGUUGUAAAGUUCUGUCUUCUGGGACGAUAAUGACGGUACCAGAGGAGGAAGCCACGGCUAACUACGUGCCAGCCGCCGCGGUAAUAC
rnacentral:rRNA from 1 species